UGUGUCCUCCCAGUGAGGUGGAGUCAAUGCAAAAUGCACGUCCUCCACCUCUACUUAUGUCUGCAGAGAGGAGAACAGAAAACAGUGGACACACAGUUUAACAUGAUGGACUACAGGACAACACUGCUGCUGGUAACUCUCUGCUGGGCAGGUGUUGAUAGUCAGACUCUGACAGAAUCUGAACCUGCAAUUAAAAGACCUGGAGAAUCCCACAGACUCACCUGUACAACAUCUGGAAUAGAAUUUAGUAGCUACUGGAUGAACUGGAUCAGACAGACUCCUGGAAAAGGACUGGAAUGGAUCGCUAAUAUCAGAUAUAACAGUGAUACCAUCUAUUACUCUCAGUCAGUUCAAGGCAGGUUCACCAUCUCCAGAGACAACAGCAAAGAGCAGCUGUAUCUGCAGAUGAACAGCCUGAAGACUGAAGAUUCUGCUGUUUAUUAUUGUGCUCGACACACACAGUGACUGAAGUUGGUUGAACAGCUGUACAAAAACCUACAGUCCUCAUCAGACAUGAAAAACAUCCUCAGUUUAGAUAAUUCUCUCAGACUUGUUGCAUCUUUACUUUAAUCAGUGAUAUUUCAGUUGUUUUUAAAGACAUUCCUGAGAAAUAAAUUGUUGUUAAACAUAAAUUUUAAGCACAUAUUCUACAUAAUAUCUGAAUAUAUUGUCAGUCAAUCCAUUUGC